ensembl:snRNA U6 U6 spliceosomal RNA
GUGCUCAUUUCAGCACACAUAUGCCAACAUUGGAGUAAUACAGAGAUGAUUAGCAUGGUCCCCGAACAAUGUAACAUGCAAAUACUGAAGCACUCCAUGUUUUU